rnacentral:rRNA from 1 species
GACAGAGGGUGCAAACGUUGUUCGGAAUUACUGGGCGUAAAGCGCGUGUAGGCGGCCAUCUAAGUCGGGCGUGAAAUCCCACGGCUCAACCGUGGAAGUGCACUCGAAACUGGAUGGCUAGAGUCCUGGAGAGGAAGGUGGAAUGCUUGGUGUAGAGGUGAAAUUCGUAGAUAUCAAGCGGAACACCGGUGGCGAAGGCGGCCUUCUGGACAGUGACUGACGCUGAGACGGCGAAAGCGUGGGGAG